AAGCCUGGUGAUAGCUGGUUCUCCCCGAAAGCUAUUUAGGUAGCGCCUCGGACGAAUACCAUAGGGGGUAGAGCACUGUUUCGGCUAGGGGGUCAUCCCGACUUACCAAACCGAUGCAAACUCCGAAUACCUAUGAGUACUAUCCGGGAGACAGACUGCGGGUGCUAACGUCCGUAGUCAAGAGGAAAACAAUCCAGACCGCCAGCUAAGGCCCCAAAAUCAUAGUUAAGUGGGAAACGAUGUGGGAAGGCAUAGACAGCUAGGAGGUUGGCUUAGAAGCAGCCACCCUUUAAAGAAAGCGUAAUAGCUCACUAGUCGAGUCGGCCUGCGCGGAAGAUGUAACGGGGCUAAAACUAUGUGCCGAAGCUGCGGAUGUAUACUUUGUAUACGUGGUAGGGGAGCGUUCUGUAAGCCGAUGAAGGUGUGUUGAGAAGCAUGCUGGAGGUAUCAGAAGUGCGAAUGCUGACGUGAGUAACGACAAAACGGGUGAAAAACCCGUUCGCCGAAAGACCAAGGGUUCCAGUCCAACGUUAAUCGGGGCUGGGUGAGUCGACCCCUAAGGCGAGGCCGAAAGGCGUAGUCGAUGGGAAAAUGGUUAAUAUUCCAUUACUUCUGUGUAAUGCGAUGAGAGGACGGAGAAGGCUAAAUCAGCCUGGCGUUGGUUGUCCAGGUGAAAGGAUGUAGGCAUGUAUCUUAGGCAAAUCCGGGGUACUCUAUGCUGAGAUCUGAUAGCAAGCUGUACUUGUACAGCGAAGUGGUUGAUGCCAUGCUUCCAGGAAAAGUCUCUAAGCUUCAGUUACACAGGAAUCGUACCCGAAACCGACACAGGUGGUCAGGUCGAGUAGACCAAGGCGCUUGAGAGAACUCUGCUGAAGGAACUAGGCAAAAUGGUACCGUAACUUCGGGAGAAGGUACGCUGUUGUUGGUGAUGGAACUCGCUUCCUGAGCUGACGACAGCCGCAGAAACCAGGCCGCUGCAACUGUUUAUUAAAAACAUAGCACUCUGCAAACACGAAAGUGGACGUAUAGGGUGUGAUGCCUGCCCGGUGCUGGAAGGUUAAUUGAUGGGGUUAGCGUAAGCGAAGCUCUUGAUCGAAGCCCCAGUAAACGGCGGCCGUAACUAUAACGGUCCUAAGGUAGCGAAAUUCCUUGUCGGGUAAGUUCCGACCUGCACGAAUGGCAUAAUGAUGGCGGCGCUGUCUCCAGCAGAGGCUCAGUGAAAUCGAAAUCGCUGUGAAGAUGCAGUGUACCCGCGGCUAGACGGAAAGACCCCGUGAACCUUUACUGCAGCUUGACACUGAACUUUGACCUUACUUGUGUAGGAUAGGUGGGAGGCUUUGAAGCUGGAACGCUAGUUCCAGUGGAGCCGUCCUUGAAAUACCACCCUGGUAAUGUUGAGGUUCUAACUCUGUCCCGUGAUCCGGGACGAGGACCGUGUCUGGUGGGUAGUUUGACUGGGGCGGUCUCCUCCUA
rnacentral:rRNA from 1 species